UUGUAAUUGGAAUGAUGGUGACCCAAACCCUCACCAGAGUAGCAAUUGGAGGGCAAGUCUGGUGCCAGCAGCCGCGGUAAUUCCAGCUCCAAUAGCGUAUAUUAAACUUGUUGCAGUUAAAAAGCUCGUAGUUGUAUUUUUGCGUUGACGGUUUGACCAUUUGGUUGGUUAUUUCGUUUUCGCUUUUGGGAAUUUCCCUUUUUACUUUGAGAAAAUUAGAGUGUUUCAAGCAGACUUUUGUCUUGAAUACUUCAGCAUGGAAUAAUAGAGUAGGACUUUGGUUCUAUUUUGUUGGUUAUUGAACCUUAGUAAUGGUUAAUAGGAACGGUUGGGGGCAUUCGUAUUUAACUGUCAGAGGUGAAAUUCUUAGAUUUGUUAAAGACGAACUACUGCGAAAGCAUUUGCCAAGGACGUUUCCAUUAAUCAAGAACGAAAGUUAGGGGAUCGAAGACGAUCAGAUACCGUCGUAGUCCUAACCAUAAACUAUGCCGACUAGU
rnacentral:rRNA from 1 species